CCUAGGUCAGAUUAGCUAGUUGGUAGGGUAAAGGCCUACCAAGGCGGCGAUCUGUAGCGGGUCUGAGAGGAUGAUCCGCCACACUGGAACUGAGACACGGUCCAGACUCCUACGGGAGGCAGCAGUGGGGAAUAUUGGACAAUGGGCGAAAGCCUGAUCCAGCCAUGCCGCGUGUGUGAAGAAGGCCUUUUGGUUGUAAAGCACUUUAAGCGGGGAGGAGGGCACCACGGUUAAUACCCGUGAAUGUCGGACGUUACCCGCAGAAUAAGCACCGUAUAACUCUGUGCCAGCAGCCGCGGUAAUACAGAGGGUGCGAGCGUUAAUCGGAAUUACUGGGCGUAAAGCGCGCGUAGGCGGCUUGUUAAGUCGGAUGUGAAAUCCCUGGGCUCAACCUAGGCAUUGCAUACGAUACUGGCAAGCUAGAGUAUGGGAGAGGAAGGUAGAAUUCCAGGUGUAGCGGUGAAAUGCGUAGAGAUCUGGAGGAAUACCGAUGGCGAAGGCAGCCCUUCUGGCCUAAUACUGACGCUGAGGUGC
rnacentral:rRNA from 1 species